GUACACGUGUGCCAAACUUGUUAUUAUGCUUGACGACAUUUGCACCAAUGAUCUUUGCUAUUGCUGAGCCCCUGAAAGAGAGAAAUCAUAUUUAAUAUCAGAAUAAUAUAAGUAGUAUUACCGUAUGUAAAAGACUAACACUGGAUUAAAAUUGAUAAUGGAUAUCGAA